rnacentral:rRNA from 1 species
CUACUGGGGUAUCUAAUCCUGUUUGCUCCCCACGCUUUCGCACCUGAGCGUCAGUGUUGUGCCAGGGGGCCGCCUUCGCCACUGGUAUUCCUCCAAAUCUCUACGCAUUUCACCGCUACACUUGGAAUUCUACCCCCCUCUCACACACUCUAGUUGUCCAGUUUUGAAUGCAAUUCCCAGGUUGAGCCCGGGGCUUUCACAUCCAACUUAAACAACCGCCUACGUGCGCUUUACGCCCAGUAAUUCCGAUUAACGCUUGCACCCUCUGUAUUACCGCGGCUGCUGGCAC